UACGUAGGGUGCAGGCGUUGUCCGGAAUUAUUGGGCGUAAAGAGCGUGUAGGCGGCCCGAUUAGUCCGCUGUGAAAGUCCAGGGCUCAACCCUGGAAUGCCGGUGGAUACUGUCGGGCUAGAGUCCGGAAGGGGCGAGUGGAAUUCCUGGUGUAGCGGUGAAAUGCGUAGAUAUCGGGAGGAACAGCGGUGGCGAAAGCGGCGCACUGGACCACAUCUGACGCUGAGGCGCGAAAGCUAGGGGAGCAAACAGG
rnacentral:rRNA from 1 species